rnacentral:tRNA from 1 species
GGCCCCGUAGCUCAGCUGGAUAGAGCAGGAAACUUCUAAUUUCAAGGUCGUGAGUUCGAAUCUCAUUGGGGCCA